rnacentral:rRNA from 1 species
AUUGAACGCUGGCGGCAGGCCUAACACAUGCAAGUCGGACGGUAGCACAGAGGAGCUUGCUCCUCGGGUGACGAGUGGCGGACGGGUGAGUAAUGUCUGGGGAUCUGCCCGAUAGAGGGGGAUAACCACUGGAAACGGUGGCUAAUACCGCAUAACGUCGUAAGACCAAAGAGGGGGACCUUCGGGCCUCUCACUAUCGGAUGAACCCGGAUGGGACUAGCUAGUAGGCGGGGUAACGGCCCACCUAGGCGACGAUCCCUAGCUGGGCUGAGAGGAUGACCAGCAACACGGGAACUGAGGCACGGUCCAGACUCCUACGGGAGGCAGCAGUGGGGAAUAUUGCACAAUGGGCGCAAGCCUGAUGCGGCCAUGCCGCGUGUAUGAAGAAGGCCUUCGGGUUGUAAAGUACUUUCAGCGGGGAGGAAGGCGAUGUGGUUAAUAACCGCGUCGAUUGACGUUACCCGCAGAAGAAGCACCGGCUAACUCCGUGCCAGCCGCCGCGGUAA